AGUCAUAUGCUUGUCUCAAAGAUUAAGCCAUGCAUGUCUCAGCACAUGCCUAAAUACGGCAAAGCCGCGAAUGGCUCAUUAUAACAGCCAUAGUUUAUUGGAUCUUGAAAACCUACUUGGAUAACUGUAGUAAUUCUAGAGCUAAUACACGCACCAAAGCCCAGACCUUUCGGAACGGGCGCAUUUAUUAGACCAAAGCCAAUCGGGCUUCGGCCCGUCUUUGGUGACUCUGAAUAACUACGCUGAGCGCACGGUCCUCGCACCGGCGCCAUAUCUUUCAAGUGUCUGCCUUAUCAACUGUCGAUGGUAGUUUAUAUGACUACCAUGGUUGUAACGGGUAACGGAGAAUAAGGGUUCGACUCCGGAGAGGGAGCCUGAGAAAUGGCUACCACAUCCAAGGAAGGCAGCAGGCGCGCAAAUUACCCACUCUCAGAACGAGGAGGUAGUGACGAAAAAUAACGAGACGGUUCUCUAUGAGGUCCGUCAUCGGAAUGGGUACAAUCUAAACCCUUUAACGAGUAUCAAUUGGAGGGCAAGUCUGGCGCCAGCAGCCGCGGCAAUUCCAGCUCCAAUAGCGUAUAUUAAAGUUGUUGCGGUUAAAAAGCUCGUAGUUGGAUCUGCAGACCCGGAUGCCGGUCGGCCUUCACGGUUCGCACUGGUACUCUGGGUCUACUCGGCUGGUCGACCCUUGGUGUUCUUCACCGAGUGCCUUGGGCGACCUGCACGUUUACUUUGAAAAAAUUUGAGUGCUCAAAGCAGGCGCUUCGCCUGAAAAUUCGUGCAUGGAAUAAUGGAAUAGGACCUCGG
rnacentral:rRNA from 1 species